GCCAGGCGGACGAGCGGUUGGGAUUUGUCCUUUCCCCUCUUCGCUUCCUUUCUUGCUUCCGUGGCCACGUCACCUGUCACAGCAGGGGCGCCUUCAACUCUGUGGCCAAGCAGUGUCAUGGUGACCCACCCCCGACAUUUAUACAGCGCACCAAGAUGGCUGGACACAUGGCUUCAAAACACUGAUGCCACCGCGGUACUCCACCCACGCACACAAAACGCCCAUUCCCCGCCCACAGUGGCUUGGUGAGCGGGCGUGGGUGUGCGUGCGUGGGUGAGGUGACCUGAGGAAACCCACAAUACCCAAGGGAACCCACGGACAAACAUAGAUAAGAUGAAUUUUAAUCUUUUUGAAGUGGGCAGAGCAAUAUGGCCGCCACAGGGACAUAGAUACACAAACAAGACACUCAAAAUGCGUGUGUGUUUUUUUUUAAUUACAAUAUGCUAAAGUGAAGGAAAAGUCAUUAAUUGUAGUAAUGUCCCGUAAUAUUGUCAUUGAUUAUAAUAAAGAGUUAAUUCAAAUACAUAUUGGCACUUAUAAUAGUAGUGGUGGUGGUGGUGGUGGUGGUGGUGGUGGUGUGUGUAUGUGUGUGUGUAUGUGUUAUUAUUAUUAUUAUUUUUGAGUCCCGUCUU